rnacentral:rRNA from 1 species
UACGUAGGGUGCGAGCGUUGUCCGGAAUUAUUGGGCGUAAAGAGCUCGUAGGCGGUCUGUCGCGUCGGACGUGAAAACUUGGGGCUUAACCCUGAGCUUGCGGUCGAUACGGGCAUGACUGGAGUUCGGCAGGGGAGACUGGAAUUCCUGGUGUAGCGGUGAAAUGCGCAGAUAUCAGGAGGAACACCGGUGGCGAAGGCGGGUCUCUGGGCCGAUACUGACGCUGAGGAGCGAAAGCGUGGGGAGCGAACAGG